ensembl:antisense Gm15413 uncharacterized LOC110297536
GUUGUUUAAGAGUCAGGAUUUAUGUGACUGGACGGCUCUCCUGAAGUUCAGUAACUAAUCCUGAGUGUCUGGCAUCUCCCGCUAUCACAGCUUUGGGGUCAAGGUUGGAUUUUAUAAAUGAAAUCAGAGGCUGGCAUUUCCCACACAUGUUUUGAGGCUCCGUGGGUGAGGGGCACUGAGAGAGAAAAAACUAUCUGGAACUAGAGAAGAACAUGUUCUUAAAGGAAACAGCAGAGCAGGCAGGAGACAUAGAAAGGAAGAUAUCUUGCCAAGCUGCCACCUCAGCAUGGAGAUCAUGGCUACAAGCAGUACACAUGGCAACUCUUGGCUGUCCAGGGGCAGGCAGGGUAGCAGCUGCAGAUGGGCAGAAACGGUUGUCAUCUGGAGACAGAGACAGGAUCUGUGCUGCAUCCAGGGGCCUCUGCACUGUGGGACUAUGUAGGAUGCUCCCUUGGACCCACGGAGCUACAGUUUUUGGUUUGGAGGAUGUGAGCAGUGAAGCCUUGCUCCAGAACAGCCUACUGCUACUCUGUAGAUGGUGCUGCCUUGACAUUAAAGCAGAUAAAGCUUCACAGUGUGCUUGGUGAGAACCAAACAGGACAAUGCUCUAGAAUGUGCUUUGACAGCUCAUAUGCCAUUUACAUAAUAGAAAAGGUCGUCAUGAAAGUGGGUCACAGCUCCUUUCUAAACCUCAAGUUUCUUCUUUCUAAAUGAGAGUGGGGUGGGGGAGCUUCAGCCACUUUAGGGAGUGUUGCAGGACUCACUCUCGCAUGGGUAACUUCCUAAGUGCAAAACUGACAGUGGGCUUGAAGAGCUAAGCCUGACAGACCUUGCUCUCCAUUCCCCUAGGAGUUGUAUUCCAGCAUCACAGACAAUGUAACCUACGUCCAUCAGGUUAAAUGAGUUGGCAUGCCCCAAAGUAAAGACCCUAGCGUAGAAUCUAUGGCUGGCAUAGUCCGAACAUGACAAAUUUCACACGUUCUAUUUAUUUAGCUUUUAAUAAAAAAGGAAAUGAGACAGGGCAAAUGUAGCAAUGUCAAAAGAUAAAAGGGAAUGCCAAUGCUUGCUUCACACCCAAUGCAAGAGAACAUUUGCUCAUGGCUAUUGGACUCUUAUGUGAUCAGAACCAAAACUUUUUGCCUGAAUUUGAAAGACCCUAGGGUCUAGGAGAAAUCUUUUGUGAUCCACAAGCAAUAGGGCAGGCUUGGUUUUGGAUGUGACUACCCAACUUCCCAGCUGUGGACCUUUGGAAAAAGUCCUUAACCCUUCUCAGCCACUGUUCUUCGUUUCUGAACUGGGGAGAUGCUCGCACAGGGUAAAUUGUAGAACUGAAGAAAAUGGCCCACACAAGAAACUCAGACAUAAACAACUGUGAACAGGAUUGACUGAUGGAGAGCCUGGGCACAAUUGUGUCAAAAUGGUAUCAAGCUACACGGGAGCAGUUUCCAGAAGCAUGGAGGGGUCUAGGUUUUAUCUAUUUGGGCUCUGACACUGGCACAGGUAUGGUGCAGUAUGGCUUUCCCAUAAAGAUUUGUUGAAUGAACAGAGAGAUAUUAAAAUCACUUCCUGGAGGAGACGCAUGUCUGCUAGCUCAACCCCAUCUCAGGGCCAUGAUAUUAAAAAAUUACCACCAAAUACAUUCAAACAGAGGCUCAAUAUUCUUGGGAGAUAAGCUUUUUAAACACCCAUCUCCAACCCCUGUGAGCUCUGUAACUGUUGAAGGGCUUAGUCCAUAUGCUUGUAGGCCCAUCUUCCCUCAUGCCAGCUCCUGCUCUGUACCUGCCAUCUUUCAUGGCAUGGGAGGAAGUGGACAUACGAGGAACAGGUGACAGGAUGAGAAAAGAUGUAAGAGUUGGUUAUUUGUAACUAUGCCCAGAAGUGUGGACAUCAGGGAAAGAUUGCCUCAAGCUCCUCUCAUUAAACACUAAUCCUC